AUCUCGGGGGGCGCUCUCUGGACCGAGAGUGCCCGAUAACCCUAAACAGUUAGGUUUCGCCUGCGCGGCCCGCCGCGCUGACUUGGUUUCACAGAAGCUUUCCCCAAACUUCUCAAAGUCUUCACCGAGACGGCCGCGGUCGGACAAGCGUCGGCUAGGAAUUUGCCGAUGCGGGUCGAAUCGAUUCGAUCCACUCUUGCGCAAAAACGGUACCGCCGUGAUCUCCAGCCUGAUGGACCCACCGCUGUUUUUG
rnacentral:telomerase_RNA from 1 species